rnacentral:misc_RNA from 1 species
AAGUCGUAACAAGGUAUCCGUAGGUGAACCUGCGGAUGGAUCAUUAACGUUCUAUUUGACAUAGAUAAACGUAAAAGAAGCAAGAACGACAGUUAUUAACGUCAGUUAAUAACGUUGUUCUUUCUCUCUUAUUAUUUAUCCUAUUCAAAUAAUACAAACGUACACCCUUGUGGUGAAUAUAGGAACUAGAGUGUGAUUCUAGUGAAAGUGUAAAAGAGAGUAUAGAUGGCCGUGUAAUACAAUGUAUUAUAUGACCAUUAGUAUUCUCUGUCUGCAUCUAGCUAGAAUUGCUUCUCUGUCUAUUAUAUAUAAACGCAAUUCUAUUUCAUUUAUUAAGACUAAAGUUUACCUUGUGGAUCAGUAACAUGAUUACCAAGUAAAACAAUUAAUAAAUCUAAUACAACUGCUAGCAACGGAUCACUCGGCUCUC